AAUAUAAUUAUUUUAUAUUUUUAUCUGAUAGAGAAUUUUCCAAUAUUUCAUAAUCGGCAAUUUCCUGGUUGCUAUCUCUUUUAGUUUAAGAGAUAUUAAUUAUAGAAAAUCGUCGAUAAAAAUUAUUAACUUUCAAGAUAGUUAGUUGUCUCUGCCCUCGUUUUUAAGAGUAUUAAUUCGCGGUAGAUUCGAUCGGAUUGGAGUAAGUAUGAGUCUUAUCGCCUGUUGCCGCAUGCCGUCGCUGCGUACUCGACUUACGCGAUGCGCGCGCUUAGGCCUGCACCGGGCGUUCAUGGGGUCGGCCACGUUUUUUGCUACUAUCGUUUUCGUUUGAUAUUGGACGUUCUUGUAUGUGUCGUCUGAUGGUGUCGUUGUAUUCCUGUUCCAGUUGCGCCGGCCGUCAUGUUCUGGUUUCAAGGAAUUGCGUGGAAGUCGAGAAAUAGAGUUACAGCACUCGUUGUACACGGCUGUCCGAUAAGCUGUACCCUGCCGGCGAACGCUAUGUCGUGGGGCUGCCGUUCUUGCACUAAAUUGUACGGUGCCUUGAAUGGGAGUCACUUCUACCGCUACCUUCGCACGGUGCCCUAAAUGGAAAUUUAUAUGGAUCCUUUGUUGGAUGAAUCAUUGGCUAAUCCUGAGAUGGUCAAGUUAAUCAAUAGGGACCAACUGGAGAGGUUCCGUGGUACUGGUGGAGGAGUCCGUAUUGAGGAUUAUGUUUUAAUUACUGAAGAUGGAUGUGUCAACUGGACUUAAGUUCCAAGAACUGUACAAGAAAUUGAAGAUUGGAUUGCCGGUGUUGAUGAUGAUUCCAAACACGAUUGACUGAAUUUACAACAUCUUGAAGCUGUUAUUGUUAUCAUUUUUGUUUAUUUUGUUAAAAGUUAUAAAAAAAGAAUUAUAUAAUUGCAUAUUA